AUUGAGUUGCACCCGCCGACGUUUAUCUGCUGGUUUCUGUGAGUUUUUUUCCCACGAUCCUCCACCCAGAUGACAGUUCCUACCAAUAAAGUCACCGUUCACGAUCACCAGUGGGGCGUAGUCCUUGAGUUCGUUGUCCCAGAGGUAGUUUUGGGAAAGAUUUUCCCUUUUUGAGGGAUUUUGAUUUAAGGUUUGGUUUUUGUAGGAUCAGUAUAUACUUCACACUGGCGAAUCGCAGCGGAUUGAGCUUCCUUUUGCUUGCACUCUUUCAGGCAUGGUAUUAACUCUCUCUUACGCUAGAUUUUGACCUGAUGGAGACAGAUUGAUGAAUUCUUAAGGAUUUUAUGUUGUUGCAUUGUGAAUUUGUGAUGCUUGCUUCCUGUAUAUGAUGUAGGGUCUCUCAGCUCAACUAUGCCAUCCAAGAGUGUUUAAUUCAUUCAAAAUUUGCAGAGUUUAUAAACCAUAAUGCUCGAAAUCGAACCCAUGAUUGCAUAGUAUAGGAUGAUCAAAUUAAUAGAGUUGAAGGAUUUGAUGUAUUUAGAAACAUGUAUACCGGUACCGAGAAAAAAAAAUGUUCAUGAUGAACUUAUCAACUCUAUUGAUGAAGUUGUGUUCAUCGCCGGGUUUCUACUAGUUGCAGAGUGUUGUGCUAGUAAGCAGUAGGUGUAAAAUCAUACUAAGGAGAUUGGACAAGAAACAUGUAUGAAAUUAGUGACAAAGUGAUGCGAAUCUGCUGUUUUGAUGUUGGGAUAUGCAUUACUUUGUGUUGGAUUCCUGUCUCGAAAUCGAAACACAAAAUGAGGAUGAGGUAUGCUUGCGAUGCAAAACUGACAUUCUCAGUUCGGCCAGUUUAUGCUCAUUAUUUCCAUUAUAGUUGCAUCUCUACUUCUGUUAUCUGCCAGUUUGGUAGAUAUUUCGCAAGAGUGCCAAUCGAGUGUUCAAUUUUUUGUUUGGUCAUCAUCAUCUUUCGAUCUCGUACCACGAGAUGUUGGUAACACUUGUUCUAACGAUACUUUCAUAAGGAUUCGACGUGACAGAAAAGAGACGACUAUGCGCUGGAGCUGGCCAUGGACAUAACAAGUUGGAAGCCUUUGUUCUUCUUUUCCGAUCUUCUGUUGACAUUUUACCUCGGUCGGCUCGCUCAAGUAGGACGACCUUGAUGAGUUGAGAUAUGUCGAAACAUAACAGUUGCGCCUUCCACGGCCGUGUAAGGUGUGACUUUCUGCUCUGUUGACCGACAUAUCGUUUCUCUCGAGUCAACUUCUCAGCGAGUGAGUCGUUGCGCUAUAUAGCUUCUCUCGGUCCCAUUGAUAGGAGCAUCAGAAUAUUGCUUCUUCAGUGGAAUUCUAUCAUCAGUAGGCAACUUCUCAAGCACCUUGUUGGGUUUCUCUACCACAAGUGUUCCAUGAGCUUUUAGACUCUUUGCUGUUGAAGAUUGUCAGGGAAUGUCAGGUGGUCUCCCGUUGGAGUUCCUAGCUCUUCAUCGAUCUCAUGGUCCCUGGUUAGUAGAUAAAGGUAUAGUUACUUGACGGUUAAGGAAGCUUUGGUGUUCAUAUGAGAAAUGAUGCUCGACAGCAAACUUACAAGCAAAACAUAAGAACUCGGUGGUAUUUCAGCAGGCCUUCCCAAGUCCUUUGGCUGUUAUAGUCGUCAGGUUCGAAUUUGAUGUCUCUGGUGGAUAGAGCAUAUAUGUUAAAAUAAAGAGGAUGAUACAUCCGAAUUAAGGAUUUAAGUGAACAAACAGAGAGGUGUACCCUAGGAGACAGAUUUUGUGGUAAGAUUUCGGGCAACGUUUACAUGUGGCGAACUUCAAAUCAUCGCUGUUGAUAUCUUCCACUUUUUUACAUUGAUGACACUUAUGCGCAGGGCAGAUGAAUGACUAUACGGUUACGAUUCUCCAUAGACAAUCGUCUUCUUUAAAUUUG
rnacentral:lncRNA from 1 species